rnacentral:rRNA from 1 species
AGUGGCGAAAGGGUGAGUAAUGCAUGGGAACGUACCCCGGACACCGGGAUAAGCACGGGCUUCGGCUCUUUAGCGAAAGUGUGGCUAAUACCGGAUGAUGUCUACGGAUCAAAGGUGGGGAUCUUCGGACCUGCCGGUCUGGGAGCGGCCCAUGUCCUAUCAGCUUGUUGGUGGGGUAAAGGCCUACCAAGGCGCCGACGGGUAGCGGGACUGAGAGGUUGGCCCGCCACAUCGGGACUGAGACACUGCCCGGACACCUACGGGUGGCUGCAGUAACGAAUAUUGGGCAAUGGGCGCAAGCCUGACCCAGCAAUGCCGCGUGCAGGAGGAAGCCCUUCGGGGUGUAAACUGCUGUCAGGGGUUAGCAAACAAAGGGCGUUAACAGCGUCCGGCGUUGAGCCGCCCCAAAGGAAGCCUCGACUAACUCUGUGCCAGCAGUCGCGGUAAGACAGAGGAGGCAAGCGUUGUUCGGAAUCAUUGGGCUUAAAGCGGGUGUAGGCGGCUCGGCAAGUGUCGUGUGAAAUCCAACGGCUCAACCGUUGAACUGCACGGCAAACUGCCUGGCUUGAGGUCGGUAGAGGUGCCUGGAACUCUUGGUGGAGCGGUGAAAUGCGUAGAUAUCAAGAGGAACGCCAGAGGCGAAAGCGGGGCACUGGGCCGAUUCUGACGCUGAGAUCCGAAAGCGUGGGGAGCAAACAGGAUUAGAUACCCUGGUAGUCCACGCCGUAAACGAUGCACACUAGACGUCGGAGGUUCUGACACCGUCGGCGUCGCAGCAAAAGUACUAGGUGUGCCGGCUGGGGAGUACGGCCG